rnacentral:rRNA from 1 species
CCUACGGGAGGCAGCAGUGGGGAAUAUUGGGCAAUGGGCGCAAGCCUGACCCAGCAACGCCGCGUGUAGGAAGAAGGCUUUCGGGUUGUAAACUUCUUUUAUCAGGGACGAAGCAAGUGACGGUACCUGAGUAAUAAGCCACGGCUAACUACGUGCCAGCAGCCGCGGUAAUACGUAGGUGGCAAGCGUUAUCCGGAUUUACUGGGUGUAAAGGGCGUGUAGGCGGGGCUGCAAGUCAGAUGUGAAAACCACGGGCUCAACCUGUGGCCUGCAUCUGAUACUGUAGGUCUUGAGUACUGGAGAGGCAGACGGAAUUCCUAGUGUAGCGGUGAAAUGCGUAGAGAUUAGGAGGAAUACCAGUGGCGAAGGCGGUCCGCUGGACAGAAACUGACGCUGAGGCGCGAAAGCGUGGGGAGCAAACAGGAUUAGAUACCCCUGUAGUC